UCGUCAGCUCGUGUCGUGAGAUGUUGGUUAAGUCCGCACGAGCGCAACCCCUACUUGUUAGUUGCCAUCAUUCAGUUGGGCACUCUAGCGAGACUGCCGGUAAUAAACCGGAGGAAGGUGGGGAUGACGUCAAAUCAUCAUGCCCCUUAUGACCUGGGCUACACACGUGCUACAAUGGUUGGUACAACGAGUUGCGAGUCGGUGACGGCGAGCUAAUCUCUUAAAGCCAAUCUCAGUUCGGAUUGUAGGCUGCAACUCGCCUACAUGAAGUCGGAAUCGCUAGUAAUCGCGGAUCAGCACGCCGCGGUGAAUACGUUCCCGGGCCUU
rnacentral:rRNA from 1 species